rfam:TPA: Bos taurus chromosome 23, whole genome shotgun sequence.
GUCAGGAUGGCCGAGUGGUCUAAGGCGCCAGACUCAAGUUCCUACUUCCCCUACUUGGGGUUUCUGGUCUCCACUUGGAGGCGUGGGUUCGAAUCCCACUUCUGACA